CUCAGGAUGAACGCUGGCGGUAUGCCUAACACAUGCAAGUCGAACGGGAAUCUUCGGAUUCUAGUGGCGGACGGGUGAGUAACACGUGAGAACCUACCUUCAGAAUGGGGACAACAGUUGGAAACGACUGCUAAUACCCAAUGUGCCGAAAGGUGAAAGAUUUAUCGUCUGAAGAUGGGCUCGCGUCUGAUUAGCUAGAUGGUGGGGUAAGAGCCUACCAUGGCAACGAUCAGUAGCUGGUCUGAGAGGAUGAGCAGCCACACUGGGACUGAGACACGGCCCAGACUCCUACGGGAGGCAGCAGUGGGGAAUUUUCCGCAAUGGGCGAAAGCCUGACGGAGCAAUACCGCGUGAGGGAGGAAGGUCCUUGGAUUGUAAACCUCUUUUAUCAGGGAAGAAGUUCUGACGGUACCUGAUGAAUAAGCAUCGGCUAACUCCGUGCCAGCAGCCGCGGUAAUACGGAGGAUGCAAGCGUUAUCCGGAAUUAUUGGGCGUAAAGCGUCCGUAGGUGGUUUUGCAAGUCUGCUGUUAAAGAAUGGAGCUUAACUCCAUAGGAGCGGUGGAAACUGCAAGACUAGAGUACAGUAGGGGUAGCAGGAAUUCCCAGUGUAGCGGUGAAAUGCGUAGAUAUUGGGAAGAACAUCGGUGGCGAAAGCGUGCUACUGGGCUGAAACUGACACUGAGGGACGAAAGCUAGGGUAGCGAAAGGGAUUAGAUACCCCUGUAGUCCUAGCCGUAAACGAUGGAUACUAGGCGUGGCUUGUAUCGACCCGAGCCGUGCCGAAGCUAACGCGUUAAGUAUCCCGCCUGGGGAGUACGCACGCAAGUGUGAAACUCAAAGGAAUUGACGGGGGCCCGCACAAGCGGUGGAGUAUGUGGUUUAAUUCGAUGCAACGCGAAGAACCUUACCAAGGCUUGACAUCCCUGGAAUCCUGCGGAAACGUGGGAGUGCCUUAGGGAGCCAGGAGACAGGUGGUGCAUGGCUGUCGUCAGCUCGUGUCGUGAGAUGUUGGGUUAAGUCCCGCAACGAGCGCAACCCUCGUUUUUAGUUGCCAUCAUUAAGUUGGGCACUCUAGAGAGACUGCCGGUGACAAACCGGAGGAAGGUGGGGAUGACGUCAAGUCAUCAUGCCCCUUACGCCUUGGGCUACACACGUACUACAAUGGUCGGGACAACGGGCAGCGAGCUCGCGAGAGUAAGCGAAUCCCAUCAAACCCGGCCUCAGUUCAGAUUGCAGGCUGCAACUCGCCUGCAUGAAGGAGGAAUCGCUAGUAAUCGCAGGUCAGAAUACUGCGGUGAAUUCGUUCCCGGGCCUUGUACACACCGCCCGUCACACCAUGGGAGCUGGUCACGCCCGAAGUCGUUACUCUAACCUUUUGGAGGAGGGCGCCGAAGGCAGGGCUAGUGACUGGGGUGAAG
rnacentral:rRNA from 1 species